CUUCGUACCCAUCGGGUAGAGCGGGUAUGGGUAUGGGAAUGCAUAACCCAUACCCUUUUACCCGAUUACCCGUAUA